UACGUAGGGUGCGAGCGUUGUUCGGAAUUACUGGGCGUAAAGGGCGCGUAGGCGGCCCAAUCAGUCGGGCGUGAAAGCUCUGGGCUUAACCCAGAAAUGUCGUUCGAUACUGUGCGACUAGAGUGCAGAAGGGGCAACUGGAAUUCUCGGUGUAGCGGUGAAAUGCGUAGAUAUCGAGAGGAACACCUGCGGCGAAGGCGGGUUGCUGGGCUGACACUGACGCUGAUGCGCGAAAGCCGGGGGAGCGAACGGG
rnacentral:rRNA from 1 species